rnacentral:rRNA from 1 species
GACAGAGGGGGCGGGCGUUGUCCGGAGUCACUGGGCGUAAAGCGCGCGCAGGCGGCAACCUCAGUGUCGUGUGAAAGCCCCCGGCUCAUCCGGGGGAGGCCAUGGCAAACUGGGUCGCUCGAGCUGCGGAGAGGCCCCGCGAAUUGCCGGUGUAGCGGUGAAUGGCGUAGAGAUCGGCAGGAAGACCGAGGGGGAAGCCAGGGGGCUCGCCGCAGGCUGCCGCUGAGGCGCGAAAGCGUGGGGAGCAAACCGG